GGAUGGAUGUCUGAGUGGUUUAAGGUAUCAGUCUUGAAAACUGAAGUAUCGAGUGUCGAUACCGGGGGUUCGAAUCCCUCUCCGUCCG
rnacentral:tRNA from 1 species